GACGAAGGGGGCUAGCGUUGUUCGGAAUUACUGGGCGUAAAGCGCGUGUAGGCGGAUGGGCAAGUCUGCUGUGAAAGCUCCUGGCUUAACCGGGAGUGGUCGGUGGAAACUGCCCGUCUGGAGGACGGUAGAGGUAGGUAGAAUUCCCGGUGUAGUGGUGAAAUGCGUAGAGAUCGGGAGGAACACCAGUGGCGAAGGCGACUACCUGGCCUGUUCUUGACGCUGAGGCGCGAAAGCUAGGGGAGCAAACGGG
rnacentral:rRNA from 1 species